GACGAACGCUGGCGGCGUGCCUAUUACAUGCAAGUCGAGCGCGGGAAGCAAGCAAUCACCCUUCGGGGUGAGCGCUUGUGGAACGAGCGGCGGACGGGUGAGUAACACGUGGGCAACCUGCCUGUGAGACUGGGAUAACCCCGGGAAACCGGGGCUAAUACCGGAUAGCUCUUUUCUUUGCAUAAAGAGAAGAUGAAAGGCGGCUUUUAGCUGUCACUCACAGAUGGGCCCGCGGCGCAUUAGCUGGUUGGUGGGGUAAUGGCCCACCAAGGGGACGGUGCGUAGCCGGCCUGGGAGGGUGAUCGGCCACACUGGGACUGAGACACGGCCCAGACGCCUACGGGAGGCAGCAGUAGGGAAUCAUCCGCAAUGGACGAAAGUCUGACGGUGCAACGCCGCGUGAGUGAUGAAGGUUUUCGGAUCGUAAAACUCUGUUGUCGGGGAAGAACACGUGCCGUUUGAAGAAGGCGGUGCAUUGACGGUACCUGACCAGAAAGCCCCGGCUAACUACGUGCCAGCCGCCGCGGUAAAAC
rnacentral:rRNA from 1 species